AGUCAGGGGCUGUGGGAGCAGGCAAUGCAUGGAUGGGCAGCUCUCAUACUACUCUAAGGGGGGGUAGUAAGGUGCUGUGGGAGCAGGAAAUGAAUGGAUGGGAGAAUGGGUAGUCAGGGGCUGUGGAAGCAUGGAGUGUAUGGAUGGGAUGGUGGGUAGCCAGAACCUGUGGGAGUAGGAAGUAUAUGUAUAUGAGGGGGGAUGGUCAGGGGCUGUGGGAGGAGAAAGUACAUGGAUGUGAGGGUGGGUGGUCAGGGGCUGUGGGAGCAGAAAGCGCAUGGAUGUGAGUGAGGGUGGUUAUUCAGGGGCUGUGGGAGCAGGGAGUGCAUGGAUGUGAGGGUGGGUAGCCAGGGGCUGUGGGAGCAGGGAGUGUAUGGAUGGAAAUGUGGGUAGUCAGGGCUGAGGGAGCAGGGACUGCAUGGAUGGGCAGCCCUGAUGUUGUUGCUCUGAGGGUGGGUAGUCAGGGGCUGUGGGAACAGGGAGUGCAUGGAUGUGAGGGUGGGUAGUCAGGGGAUGUAGUAGCCCGGAGUGCAUGGAUGUGAGGGUGGAUAGUCAGGGGCUGUGGGAGGAGAGAGGGCAUGAAUGGGAGAGUGGGAGUCAGGGGCUGCAGAGGCAGGGAGUGCAUGGAUGGGCAGCUUUCAUGCUGCUCUCAGGGUGGGUAGUCAGGGGCUGUGGGAGCAGGUAGUGCGUGGAUGGGAGGGUGGGUAGUCAGUGGCUGUGGGACCAGGAAGUGUAUGAAUGGGAGGGUAGGUACUCAGGGGCCGUGAAAGCAGGGAGUGCAUGGAUGUGAGGGUGGGUGGUCAGGAGCUGUGGGACCAGGAAGUGUAUGAAUGGGAGGGUAGGUACUCAGGGGCCGUGAAAGCAGGGAGUGCAUGGAUGUGAGGGUGGGUAGUCAGGGGCUGUUGGAGCAGGGAGUGCAUGGAUGUGAGGGUGGGUAGUCAGGGGCUGUUGGAGCAGGGAGUGCAUGGAUGUGAGGGUGCUUAGUCAGGGGCUGUGGGAGCAGGGAGGGCAGAAAUGGUAGGGUGGGUAGUUAGAGGCUGUGGGAGCAGGCAGUGCAUGGUCGGGAGGGUGGGUAGUCAGGAGCUGUGCAAGCAGGAAGAGCGUGGAUGUGACGUUGGGAAGUCAGGGUAGUCCGGGCGGGCGCGGACCCUUCCACCGCCGGCGGGGAGCACCCGCUCCACCGGCCGGGGAUCCCCGGGGCGCGGCGAUGGUCCCUCCUGACGCGGGCGCAACGUCGCCGGGGCGUCCCGGACCCUAGGCCGCGCACGGUCGCCGGAGCCCGGCACUCGCGCCCCGAUCUCGGCCCUCCAGGCGGCCGGGGACCUUGAGGGAAAAGGCCAGCUCCCUCCUACUCACCGACCGCAAGGCUCGGCGACUCCAAACCCCUCUGCAACCGCUUCCUCCAGCCGUUGCCGCCGCCGCGGGCCCGGGCUGGGUCAGGACUUGCGCGCGCCCGCCGUUGUCUACGCCGCCCAACGUGACCCCGCCCCCACCGUCCCGCACGCUGCCGCCGGGCGCGCGAGCCGCCAGGGCGAGGACCUAGGGAGAGGCGAGUGCCCCAGUCCGCCGGGUGGGCGCGCCCGGGACGCGCGGAGUCGCCCUCUGGCGGGCGAGGGGCGGCUGCCUGGGGAGGGGCGGGGCGGGGCGGGAGAGACCGAGCCCUGGUCACCCCUGGGCUGACGCGUCCCUCUCCGGUAAGGGGAGCCCUUCCCCGCCUCAGGGCGGGAGACCGGCUCCCUCCCGGGCCAGAGGUUCGCACGUGUGUUCCGGAGAAGGUGAAGUCAGCCCGGCACCGCGGGAGGAGGCUAGAUCACUAAAUCACCUGGUCCUCUUGGGGCUGCUGUCGGUGAGCGGCGACAUUCUGCCCGUAGAGGACUCGGCUUGGCCUGGCACGCUCAAGAUCUGUUAGCUGCCGGUACCACCACCACCGUUACCACGACCGCCGUCACACCAGCAGCAUCCGUGAGUCUCGCCUACUUUGCUUGUCAAGCAGAGGGCUUACGGCGUGAGUGUAGUCCGCCUUCGCCCUCCCUCGCAGCUGCAACUUUCCAACUUGUACCUCCACGUGGACCUGCUCUCUCUACUCAAGUCUAGCUGGUGCCUGCUGGAGUUUGCACGUGUGUUUCUUUUACCGCAUUUCUUUUGACUUCAGACGCCUAACCCAAGCUUAUUAUCUCCCCUAAAAUUGGACCGCCUUAAAAUAUAUAUUACCUUUCUUUUUCCUGUUCUUUUUUUUUUUCUGAGAAGAGUUUUCGCUGUUGUUACCCAGGCUGGAGUGCAAUGGCAGGAUCUCGGCUCGCCGCAACCUCCGCCUUUUGGGUUCAAGCAAUUCUUCUGCCUCAGCCUCCCGAGUAGCUGGGACUACAGGUGCGCACCACCAUGCCCAGCUAAUUUUUUUGUAUUUUUAGUAGAGACGGUGUUUCACCAUGUUGACCAGGUGAAACCUCGAUCUCUUGACCUCGUGAUCCACCGGCCUCCGCCUCCCAAAGUGCUGGGAUUAGAGGCGUGAGCCACCGCGCCCGGCCCGACUUCCUGUUCUUAAAAGACUGUUUGUGGCCGGCGCGGUGGCUCUGGCCUCUUAGCCCAACACUUUGGGAGGCUAAGGCGGACGGAUUUUUGUAUAAUACUUUUAUGAGAUGCUUUUUUUUUUAAGAUUAAAGCCAAGAUAAAUUAUUGUCUCAUCUUCAUCACCUAUGGAUGCUAGUGUCUUUAAGGGAAGGUAAAGAAUGUUUUGUUAGUUAGAAGUAAAUAUUGACGUUUUAAUGGUGGUGAUAGUGAGUUUUGUGGUACCAGCUGUUUUGUAUUGCAUCCGGCAAGGUACAGGUUUUCAUGUUCAGGUUUUGUUGGGAUGAGACCUUUUGAUCCCAAGGUCAGGUGGAUGGGAUUUUUGGAUUUGUAUUUGCUCCUUGAGUCUCGGGGCAGUGUCUCCACGCGGGGUUUCCUGUUGAGGGGCAUCACAUGCAAUAGUGUGAAGUAGGUACAAGGGGCAGUCAUUGUAUUCUAUAGUAUUUUGUAGUCUCCAUUUCUCAGCUGUAUCCUCAUUCGGUUUUCUUCUCAGAAGUGUUUUUACUGGACUCAUGACUUGGAGGCCGGACCUUAAAUCCAGAGAUGGCAACCUGGAUAGGGACUUAAAAGGAUCCACAAAAACUUGUGACACACUUGGUGCCUAGGCCCUGUUCCCAAUAACCCCUUCUAGGGCCGUUUAUCUAACAUUUUGGUGCCUUCUUUCCCCUCCCUAAUUUGUAGACGAUCCGACCUUUUAUUCCUUGGAGGAUUUGCUUUGGGGAUAAAAUUUUGGUGCUCAGGCACAGGGACAUUCACUUUUAAUGAAAGAACCCUUGGGCAUGACUCCAAUCCCAGAAUUGCUCACUGAGCGCUAUGCCACCUAAGCAUUGACCUGAACAUAUUAGUGCACUCCAGUCCAGAUUGGACCACUGAUCCUACGUGGAAGGGCUGUGUUUUUAAAAAAUAUAUAUAUAUAUCUGGUAUCCUACAAAAUUGUAAUUGAAGGGAAACCAUAUACUGUGAAUUUAAUGCAAAACGGAUGGUACAUUCAAGUUCAGAAAUUUGACAAAUGGAGUUUUGAUACAUGUGCAUGCAAAAUGUAGAGCCUCUGCUUUGCAGUACCUUCACAAAAGUAAUAAAGAACUUUAAUUGGUACCAAGUGUUGACAGAGGGAAGGGAGUCAUUUUAUCAGAGUCACAGAGAGAAGGUAGACCUCCCUUCAAAGAUUCAAAGAGACGUAAGCACCCUUGCAACAAGGUAAUAAAUAUUUCGCUUUCAUUCACAUCUCGUUCUCCUCUCUCCAUUAGAAUAACUCAAGGUAAAAGUCAAGGGCAAAGCAUCCCACUCACAUAAUCCAUUUGUGUCAUCUACCUGGGCUAGACAGCAUGGUAGAAAAUGAUGGAAAAUUGACUUAGAGAAGCAAACAGAAGAAACUAAAAUGUAUACCUAGAAGCCUAUCAUGAAGUAUAUUCAUCAAAAUGUUAUUAGAUAUAUUUAAAGGAUUUGUGGAUUUUUCUCAAAAUUCAUGUCAUAGUAUGAUAAAAUGCACUAUAGUAAGCAUCUUACAAAGAUAUUUUAGUUUUCCCAAUAAAAUUUAAACAAUGGAAAAGUCAGAAUUCUUAUUAUCAGUCAUUAUUACCAUAAUAUUAAUUAAUGCAAUGGUUUAACUUAUGAAUUACAUGUAUGAAAUGUCUAUAUAAAAUAUGAUCUUUAAGGAAUCAAUUUUUAAAAAUUUUUAAUUAUUAUGAGUACACAAUAGUUACAUGUAUUUAUUGGAGAGAUGUGAUGUUUUGGUACAGGCAUACAAUGUGUAAUGAUUAAAUUAGGAUAAUUGGAAUAUCCAUCACCUCAAGCCUUUAUCACUUCUUUGUGUUAGGAACAUUCCAAUUCCACUCUUAGUUAUUUUAACAUAUACUGUAAGUGUUGUUAACCAAUGUAACACUAUUGUCCUAGAAAUCCUAGACCUUAUUCUAUUUAAUUGUGCUCAUUAAACCAUCUCCCCUUUAUCCCCCACUUUCGACCACUCUUCCCAACCUCGGGUAGUGACCAAAUUACAAAUUAAAAUAAUCUCUUCAUAAUUUGACACUAUGUUUUUCCAUGAGUUUUUCUUUAAAUAUUAUCUUUUGUGAAUACAAAUAAGACUGCAAUGGUUUUUAUAUGGAGUUAAUAAAUUCCUGGAGCAAUUUUUUUUCUUUGUCUGAGGCCAUCAAAUGGGUCAUCCAUUUAACACAUUGGUAAAACUUUAGAUUUUACUUUUCAUAGUUUUCUUGUAUUUAUAAUGAGUUAUGCCAACAUGGAUGGCACAUCUGGGGAUAGCCUAUUAGAGCGCCUAUUCCAUUUUAUCAUGUGACUCUUUAAUAAUUGCAUUGUUCUCCCAGUAAACAAAAUAAUGUACAUUUAUUUAUUU